rnacentral:rRNA from 1 species
UUGACCUCGAAUCAGGGUAG